CUUUGAAGUAAUUACAGUAAAAAGAUGAGCUACUAUCGAUACUGAGCCUACGAUCCCAAAUGUGACUGAAGAUUUUGAACCAGUUGAAUCAACAACACAGGCCACCAAUGAAACUUCUGAACCGUCAUCAUCAACCGGAAAUUAGUUUGUUUGUUACUGGUUUUCAAUGGCCUCCUCUUCAUCAUCAUCAACUCGUUGCUGGAAGUAUGAUGUUUUGUUUGAGUUUCAGGGGUCUUGAUACUCGCAAAGGGAUUGCAUUUGACAAACAUGAUUGACUUAAUAGAAGUGGCAUUAUAACAUUCAUGGAUGAUCCAGAUCUUCAAGUAGGGGAUACUAUUUCUCCCACCCUCAUAAACGCAAUUGAAGAGUCCAGGUUUGCAAUCGUAGUUCUCUCCCAAAAGUAUGCUUCUUCUACUUGGUGUUUGGAGGAACUUAGAGAGAUUUGUCUAUCCAUGGAAGACAACAGAAUUUUGCCACUUUUUUAUCUAGUUGAUCCUACUGAUGUUCGAUAUCAGAAGAUGAGUUUCGAAGAUGCUUUCUCUUAAGCACGAAUCCUCUAAGCGACAUAAAUCAGACAAGGUGAAGCAAUGGAGAGCUACCUUAAGCAAAGUGGCCAAUAUCUCUGGGUGAAAUACAAAUGAUUAUAAUAAAGUACCACCUGAUGCAAUUGAAAGAUAUUUCCAAGCAUAUGAAGCAACGACACGAGCCAUGGAUGAUGUCAUGAAGGCGCUAACAGAUGACAAGAUCACUGUUGUUGGUGUCUAUGGCAUGGGCGGCAUUGGAAAAACAAGCAUUGUGAGACAUGUAGCUGCAGAAGCCUGCAAAUAUGGUACUUUUAACCAUUGGAGAGAGAGUGUAUAUGUCUUAUCAAAGGUGCCAGGUGCCAACUGAGAAAAGACCGUGCAGAAGCAUUCGAAGAGGUGGCCGCUCAGCUCUACUCUGGUUCCGCGCGCGUGGAGAUUACUCGCUUGAGUCGCUUCCCUGUAAAGCCUGUGGUGGUUUACUCCAUAGCUCUACAGUUAUGUUCCUUCAACCUUUGCUCUUUGUGUCUCUUCCAGUUAUACCGAAUUUACAUACUUCGAUCACGACUUGAUUGAGUUCUUCUUUUCUAUUGGUUUCAUAGUUUACAUAAUUUGGUUGAUAGAUUGGUUUGAUUGUAUUUU